GUCUUUUUGAUAGCUCAGUCGGUAGAACAUGAGACUCUAAAUCCCAAGAUUGUGGGUUCAAGUCCCACGUUGGGCA